GGGCGGGGGUCCCUGGGGAUUUUGGGGGCGGACCCCCCACUUCCCUCCCCCGGGGCACUGGGGCGAAUCUCCUGCCGGGCCCGGCCGCGCGCAGCUGAUGGCGGCUGCUCCCCAAAUCCGGGGGGCUCCCCCAAAACGGGGGGUCCCGAGCCCCCUCCUCAUCCUCCUCCUCCUCCUCCUCCUCCUCCUCCCAGGUUCCCAGUGCCACAACGGCUCCUUCCCCCCUCCUCCCACCCCCCAUGCGGAGACCCCCCCCCCGCUGACGCUGCCCACCCGCCCGGGGGGCUCCUCCUGCGGCUCCUGGGGAGGGGUCCGCGUCUGGCCCGUGCCCACCUCCCUGUCCGCCGCGCCCGGGGCAGCUCUGAGCCUGGAGUGCCGCUUCGAGCCGGAGGACGCGAAUGUCACCUGGCUGCAGGUGUGUCCCCGCGGCCGGGCCGGGGGCUGCCGCUGGCCCGAGGAGCUGCCGGCCCUGGGCGGGGGUCGCCAGGUAAUGGGGGGGGUCCCGGGGGUCUCCAGGCUGAGCUUUGAGCCCCUGGAGCGGAACCACAGCGGACUCUACUUGUGCCGGGUGAGCUCCGGGAACGCGUCCGCGCAGUCCUGCGGCACCUUCGUCAGGGUCCGGGAACCCGUGCCCGUGCCGUUCCUGGACCUGGCAGACGCCACCAAGAACAGGAUCCUGACGGCGCAGGGAGCGCUGCUGCUGCUGUGCGCUGCGGGGCCGGGGCUGCUGCUGCUCUUCAGGAAGCGCUGGGCCAACGAGCGUCUCCUCCAGCCCAAGAAAAUCUCCCUGGAGGAGGAAAACCUUUAUGAGGGGCUGAACCUGGACGAGUGCUCCAUGUACGAGGACAUUUCCCGGGGGGUCCAACCCACCUACCAGGACGUGGGGACCCCCCCCGCCGCCGAGGGGCUCCUGGAGAAGCCUUAAAAGACCCCCCAAAAUGAGGGGGGGGUCCCCAAACCCCUGCGUGCCCCCCAAACCCCACAAAGGCUUUGCUUUGGUACCUCAAGGCAGCGCUGAUGUCAAACCCCCUCCCCAAAAUAAAACUGCAGCUGAGAAAUUGCAAAUAAAAAAUUCAU